UACAGAGGGUGCAAGCGUUAUCCGGAAUUAUUGGGCGUAAAGCGUCUGUAGGUGGCUUUUUAAGUCCGCCGUCAAAUCCCAGGGCUCAACUCUGGACAGGCGGUGGAAACUACCAAGCUGGAGUACGGAAGGGGCAGAGGGAAUUUCCGGUGGAGCGGUGAAAUGCGUAGAGAUCGGAAAGAACACCAGCGGCGAAAGCACUCUGCUGGGCCGACACUGACACUGAGAGACGAAAGCUAGGGGAGCGAAUGGG
rnacentral:rRNA from 1 species